rnacentral:rRNA from 1 species
ACAGGGGAUUGCCCUAGUAACGGCGAGUGAAGCGGCAACAGCUCAAAUUUGAAAUCUGGCGUCUUUGGCGUCCGAGUUGUAAUUUGCAGAGGGCGCUUUGGCAUUGGCAGCGGUCCAAGUUCCUUGGAACAGGACGUCACAGAGGGUGAGAAUCCCGUACGUGGUCGCUAGCCUUUACCGUGUAAAGCCCCUUCGACGAGUCGAGUUGUUUGGGAAUGCAGCUCUAAAUGGGAGGUAAAUUUCUUCUAAAGCUAAAUACUGGCCAGAGACCGAUAGCGCACAAGUAGAGUGAUCGAAAGAUGAAAAGCACUUUGGAAAGAGAGUUAAAAAGCACGUGAAAUUGUUGAAAGGGAAGCGCUUGCAGCCAGACUUGCCUGUAGUUGCUCAUCCGGGUUUCUACCCGGUGCACUCUUCUAUAGGCAGGCCAGCAUCAGUUUGGGCGGUUGGAUAAAGGUCUCUGUCAUGUACCUCCUUUCGGGGAGAACUUAUAGGGGAGACGACAUGCAACCAGCCUGGACUGAGGUCCGCGCAUCUGCUAGGAUGCUGGCGUAAUGGCUGUAAGCGGCCCGUCUUGAAACACGGACCAAGGAGUCUAACAUCUAUGCGAGUGUUUGGGUGUCAAGCCCGAGCGCGUAAUGAAAGUGAACGGAGGUGGGAACCUUUCGGGGUGCACCAUCGACCGAUCCUGAUGUCUUCGGAUGGAUUUGAGUAAGAGCAUAGCUGUUGGGACCCGAAAGAUGGUGAACUAUGCUUGAAUAGGGUGAAGCCAGAGGAAACUCUGGUGGAGGCUCGCAGCGGUUCUGACGUGCAAAUCGAUCGUCAAAUUUGGGCAUAGGGGCGAAAGACUAAUCGAACUAUCUAGUAGCUGGUUCC